CGGACGGGUGAGUAAUGUCUGGGAAACUGCCUGAUGGAGGGGGAUAACUACUGGAAACGGUAGCUAAUACCGCAUAACGUCGCAAGACCAAAGAGGGGGACCUUCGGGCCUCUUGCCAUCGGAUGUGCCCAGAUGGGAUUAGCUAGUAGGUGGGGUAGAGGCUCACCUAGGCGACGAUCCCUAGCUGGUCUGAGAGGAUGACCAGCCACACUGGAACUGAGACACGGUCCAG
rnacentral:rRNA from 1 species